GUUAAAUACUUCUUUGAAAAUGUAAAAUGAUUUGUAUUUUUAUACAGUAUCAUGUAUAUAUUCAUAAUAUACAAUUCUUGGAAAUAAAUAUCAUAUUUCAUUUACAGCGAUCACAUGUAGUGGGAGGAAUUUGACAUAAUAAGGUUUGCUUAGGCACACCAUGCUGGAGGGAUUUACCAGGGAAUUUAUUCUUUAAGAAGAAUUAAAACAAAGAAGUCCAAGUGAUCCAAAUGCCAAAAGUGCCAAACAUGACUUUCAAAGGAAGAAGGAUAUUGUGAUUUUUUUUUAAUUUCAAUUGUGACAAAUCUUCUCUGUUAAGAAGACUUUUAUUGACUGUGCGGAUGUUUAGAACAGUUCAUGGAUUACAUUUGUGUAAAAAAGUUUAAACUAAUUAAAACUGUAGGAAGUACAA